rnacentral:rRNA from 1 species
AGCGAACGCUGGCGGCAGGCCUAACACAUGCAAGUCGAACGAACCUUUCGGGGUUAGUGGCGGACGGGUGAGUAACACGUGGGAACGUGCCUUUAGGUUCGGAAUAACUCAGGGAAACUUGUGCUAAUACCGAAUGUGCCCUUCGGGGGAAAGAUUUAUCGCCUUUAGAGCGGCCCGCGUCUGAUUAGCUAGUUGGUUGAGGUAAUGGCUCACCAAGGCGACGAUCAGUAGCUGGUCUGAGAGAAUGACCAGCCACAUUGGGACUGGACCACGCCCCAAACCCCUCGGGAGGCAGGAGUGGGGGAUUCUUGGGAAUGGGGGAAAGGCCGAAGGAGCCAUGGCCGGGUAAAGAAGGAGGGUUUUGGAAUGGAAAAUUCUUUUCACCGGGACGAUAAUGACGGUACCCGGAGAAGAAGCCCCGGCUAACUUCGUG